AUGUAACUGGUAUUAAAAUUACUUUGACUAGAUUUUUGUUUUGAGUUUUUUUGUUUUUAGUUUUCCUUUUAUUUAUAUAUAUAUUUUUGUACUAAAGUUUUUAUUUUCUAAAAGUAUUAUUUUUUUAUUAAUGUUAUACUUUCCAUAUGUGUGUAUUCAUGCUGAAGUAAUGAACUUCACGAAAUUUCGUUUGAAUCAUUUUUGUUUAAAUAUCUAAAAUGUAGAGGAACUUUUCUUUGAGUACCUGUUUGGGGAGGGAGUGUCAUUAGCGGGGAACAUCCGGGGUUUCUCAUCGUGCGUUUUGCGUUGGCCUCAGUUUCACUGCAUGAGGUUGGUGGACGCAUGCACGUGCGGUCCGCCCUAUAAACAACACUGUGUGUCAGAGUGGGAGGAGCUGCUACCCCGUUUUGACCUGAUAAUUUCUCCUUAUCAACAGAUUAAAAUACCAGAUCUCA